rnacentral:rRNA from 1 species
GACGAACGCUGGCGGCGUGCUUAACACAUGCAAGUCGAACGGUAAGGCCCUUCGGGGUACACGAGUGGCGAACGGGUGAGUAACACGUGGGUGAUCUGCCCUGCACUUCGGGAUAAGCCUGGGAAACUGGGUCUAAUACCGGAUAGGACUCCGGACUGCAUGGUCUGGGGUGGAAAGCUUUUGCGGUGUGGGAUGGGCCCGCGGCCUAUCAGCUUGUUGGUGGGGUGAUGGCCUACCAAGGCGACGACGGGUAGCCGGCCUGAGAGGGUAACCGGCCAAACUGGGACUGAGAUACGGCCCAGACACCUACGGGAGGCAGCAGUGGGGAAUAUUGCACAAUGGGCGCAAGCCUGAUGCAGCGACGCCGCGUGAGGGAUGACGGCCUUCGGGUUGUAAACCUCUUUCAGCAUCGACGAAGCGAAAGUGACGGUAGGUGCAGAAGAAGGACCGGCCAACUACGUGCCAGCCGCCGCCGUAA